rnacentral:rRNA from 1 species
AUGAGCUUCGCUCAACAGCAUAGCUCAUACCAAAACAAUUACUCACAUGGGUGGCCUGAAAACCCGAAUAUGUCAUAUAGGAGCAACAACCCUGAGAUCUCAUCAUUUGCCUCUAGUUAUCCAUUGCAGGGAUUCAGGUACAAUGAGGAGAACCACAACUAUGCUCCACAACAGUCUUAUUCAGCUCCUAUUCAUAUACCUCUACACCAGGAGAUGUGUCCAAUGGAGUUAAAUGGUCCUCCAUUUGGUCAACCAACAACUUCAGCACCUAAUGAGUCAGUAGAGCAAUCUCAUGUGCAAGUGCCCACACAAGAUGAGUUCGAUGACAUAGACAAGCUCACACUUUUGAGUCUCGAGUUCACUUGGAGUGCGGAGGAUGAUCCUAUUAGGAAGGUUAUACUUGAGGAAAUGAAGAAGAUCAAGAGUGGAAAAGAGCUAGUGGAAGAAGUAAGGAAGAUUGAGAAGAAAAUCAACUCUGGCAGCACUAUUUCUUCAUAG